rnacentral:rRNA from 1 species
GACGAACGCUGGCGGCGUGCUUAACACAUGCAAGUCGAACGAUGAAGGAGAGCUUGCUCUCCGGAUUAGUGGCGAACGGGUGAGUAACACGUGACUAACCUGCCCCUUUCCCUGGGAUAACGCUCCGAAAGGAGUGCUAAUACCGGAUACGAACUCUGAACACAUGUUCGGAGUUGGAAAGUUUUUCGGAAAGGGAUGGAGUCGCGGCCUAUCAGCUUGUUGGUGAGGUAACGGCUCACCAAGGCGACGACGGGUAGCCGGCCUGAGAGGGCGACCGGCCACACUGGGACUGAGACACGGCCCAGACUCCUACGGGAGGCAGCAGUGGGGAAUAUUGCACAAUGGGCGAAAGCCUGAUGCAGCGACGCCGCGUGAGGGAUGAAGGUCUACGGAUUGUAAACCUCUUUCAGUAGGGACGAAGCGAAAGUGACGGUACCUAAAGAAGAAGCACCGGCUAACUACGUGCCAGCCGCCGCCGUA